rnacentral:rRNA from 1 species
CAAACUGAAGAUGGCGACCGGCGCACGGGUGAGUAACACGUAUCCAACCUGCCGAUGACUCGGGGAUAGCCUUUCGAAAGAAAGAUUAAUACCCGAUGGCAUAGUUCUUCCGCAUGGUAGAACUAUUAAAGAAUUUCGGUUAUCGAUGGGGAUGCGUUCCAUUAGUUUGUUGGCGGGGUAACGGCCCACCAAGACUACGAUGGAUAGGGGUUCUGAGAGGAAGGUCCCCCACAUUGGAACUGAGACACGGUCCAAACUCCUACGGGAGGCAGCAUG